rnacentral:lncRNA from 1 species
GAGUGUGUAAGCAGCAAGUAUGACAUGGAUUCAGUCAGCUGGUCACAGUCCCGUUUCAUGAUCAGUACCUUGUACACGGUAGGAAACGAGGAGGGCCAUUGGUCUACACUUUGAAGAUGGGGUGAUAUGUGAUUGAAUCCACCACUCACCCACAUGAGCGCUGGAGGAGGUUGGGGGUGGCUAUCCAACGUCUUCAGUGUUGUUUUUCUUCACCUUUAGUGAACAUGCCACUCACCGGGGUACCCUGUCCAAUUGCUGCUGCUGGAGAACUAGAAACCAUACAAAAAACAACUCAGACAGUAGCAGAGCAGAGAGCUGACUCCAGGCAUCUCCACCGGCCGGGCCUGCAUGCCUUUAAGCACCACGGUCACCUCACCUCACACCACCUCUUUACAGCCCUGGAUUCAGGAGGAAGACGGAUGCACACAGGCCAGCCUCACUCACAGUUACCCUCCUGGCGACCGGACAGGAGCCUGUAGCCCGUUUUAGAUUGCCAACCCUCUUCUCUGGUUGGGCAGACACUCAGAGGGACCCCUUCUUAGGUGGGAAUCUCAGUGCCCCUUCCGGUUUCCUUUUUCAAGAGCCGCCCCCCCUCUUAUGAGCCCCCAGAGCCUCUGGCCUCGCCAAGCUUGAGUUGUCACCACACGGAGGAGGCAUUUUGCAGGUGUGACCCAGUGGCCAGCCUAACUGGCACACUGAACUUCUAGACAAGAAGCUUGACAUCCACGCUCCUGAAGUCAGAAUGAGGGAUUCCAAAGCGGCAUGGGGAGGGGUGGCUGCCUGCAGAUGAGUCUGUGGUCCCCAGUGUCUUCUACUGUGCAUCUACUGUACACAGAGAGGCGGUGUGAGCACUCACGGUCCAACCUGAGCUAAUGUGCCAACCAAUCACCACUGCCAGGCUUCCCCUAUGUUAGUAGUCGCGCAUGUGCAAUAAAGCAGACACUGUUGCCCGAAACUCUUCAUCUCUUGUCGGAGGACGCCCGGGUAAUGACAGCAACCACAAAUGUGUACACCGCAGAAACAGAUGGGCUAGGUGAUCUUCUAGACUCCAGAGACGCUUUACACAGAGGGCAAGAGUAGGCUUUGACCUUGGAAAGUCUUGAAGAAAUUCUAAGUUCAGCAUGACAUCGGUCAUGAGUCUCAGAUUAAACCAGAUGCAAUGAAAAGUAGCCGCCU